AUUGAACGCUGGCGGCAGGCUUAACACAUGCAAGUCGAGCGGGGGGAGGUAGCUUGCUACCUAACCUAGCGGCGGACGGGUGAGUAAUGCUUAGGACUCUGCCUAUUAGUGGGGGACAACAUUUCGAAAGGGAUGCUAAUACCGCAUACGCCCUAAGGGGGAAAGCAGGGGAUCAUCGGACCUUGCGCUAAUAGAUGAGCCUGAGUCGGAUUAGCUAGUGGGUGGGGUAAAGGCCUACCAAGGCGACGAUCUGUAGCGGGUCUGAGAGGGUGAUCCGCCACACUGGGACUGAGACACGGCCCAGACUCCUACGGGAGGCAGCAGUGGGGAAUAUUGGACAAUGGGGGGAACCCUGAUCCAGCCAUGCCGCGUGUGUGAAGAAGGCCUUUUGGUUGUAAAGCACUUUAAGCGAGGAGGAGGCUACCGAGAUUAAUACUCUUGGAUAGUGGACGUUACUCGCAGAAUAAGCACCGGCUAACUCUGUGCCAGCCGCCGCAGUAACAC
rnacentral:rRNA from 1 species